UUAAGUUUGAUCUGGCUCAGGAUGAACGCUAGCGGGAGGCCUAAUACAUGCAAGUCGAGGGGUAGAACCGACUUCGGUUGGUUUGAGACCGGCGCACGGGUGAGUAACGCGUACGCAACCUGCCCUUAACAGAGGGAUAGCCCUGGGAAACUGGGAUUAAUACCUCAUAGCUUGUUCGGAUCGCAUGGUUUGAACAAUAAAGCUCAGGUGGUUAAGGAUGGGCGUGCGUCUGAUUAGGUAGUUGGUGAGGUAACGGCUCACCAAGCCAACGAUCAGUAGGGGGCGUGAGAGCGUGACCCCCCACACGGGUACUGAGACACGGACCCGACUCCUACGGGAGGCAGCAGUAAGGAAUAUUGGACAAUGGGCGAGAGCCUGAUCCAGCCAUCCCGCGUGCAGGAUGACGGCCCUACGGGUUGUAAACUGCUUUUCUGCACCAAGAAACCUAUCCAUUUAUGGGUAGCUGACGGUAGUGCAGGAAUAAGCACCGGCUAACUCCGUGCCAGCAGCCGCGGUAAUACGGAGGGUGCAAGCGUUAUCCGGAAUCACUGGGUUUAAAGGGUGCGUAGGCGGGCUAAUAAGUCAGAGGUGAAAGGCUGCGGCUUAACCGUGGAAUUGCCUUUGAUACUGUUAGUCUUGAAUCGGGUUGAGGUAUGCGGAAUGUGGCAUGUAGCGGUGAAAUGCAUAGAUAUGCCAUAGAACACCAAUUGCGAAGGCAGCAUACUGGACCUGAAUUGACGCUGAGGCACGAAAGCGUGGGGAGCGAACAGGAUUAGAUACCCUGGUAGUCCACGCCCUAAACGAUGCUCACUCGAUAUGCGGCUUUAGCUGCGUGUCCAAGCGAAAGCAUUAAGUGAGCCACCUGGGGAGUACGUCGGCAACGAUGAAACUCCAAGGAAUUGACGGGGGUCCGCACAAGCGGUGGA
rnacentral:rRNA from 1 species